AAUUAGAGGGUUCACUGCAUCACGUACAAAUCUUUCGCCUUUUACUAAAAAUUUCCGUGCAGAGGACCAAUAAGAUCGGAAUUUAACAAUUUAUUUCCGCUUUGUCCUUUGAUGAGGU
rnacentral:snRNA from 1 species